UAAAGGUGAAACCGCGAAAGGCUCAUUAAAUCAGUUAUGGUUCCUUAGAUCGUACCCACAAUUACUUGGAUAACUGUGGUAAUUCUAGAGCUAAUACAUGCAAACAGAGCUCCGACCGGAGACGGAAGGAGUGCUUUUAUUAGAUCAAAACCAAUCGGUGGCGGGUUCGCCCGUUAUCGUACAACUUGGUGACUCUGAAUAACUUUACGCUGAUCGCACGGUCAUCGCACCGGCGACGCAUCUUUCAAAUGUCUGCCUUAUCAACUGUCGAUGGUAGGUUCUGCGCCUACCAUGGUUGUAACGGGUAACGGGGAAUCAGGGUUCGAUUCCGGAGAGGGAGCCUGAGAAACGGCUACCACAUCCAAGGAAGGCAGCAGGCGCGCAAAUUACCCACUCCCGGCACGGGGAGGUAGUGACGAAAAAUAACGAUACGGGACUCAUCCGAGGCCCCGUAAUCGGAAUGAGUACACUCUAAACCCUUUAACGAGGAUCAAUUGGAGGGCAAGUCUGGUGCC
rnacentral:rRNA from 1 species